GUUGCCGAUUUGGAGUUGCUAGAGUGCAGGCUCAUUCGGGAGUAAUGCAGCUGAAACUGGAACAUACCGCUGGAUGGCUCCUGAGGUUAUUGAGCACAAGCCAUGUGAUCACAAGGCAGAUGUUUUUAGCUUUGGGAUAGCACUCUGGGAGCUACUGACAGGAGAAAAUCUUCGUCCUACGAUCCCAAAGAAUACAAACCCAAGACUAGGGGAAUUGCUUGAGAGAUGCUGGCAGCAGGACCCCACUCAAAGGCCUAACUUCUCUGCAAUUGUAGAAAUCCUUCAACACAUAGAU